CCUACGGGUGGCUGCAGUGAGGAAUAUUGGUCAAUGGGCGAGAGUCUGAACCAGCCAAGUAGCGUGAAGGAUGACUGCCCUAUGGGUUGUAAACUUCUUUUGUACAAGGGUAAACCUGAAUACGUGUAUUCAGCUGAAAGUACUGUACGAAUAAGGAUCGGCUAACUCCGUGCCAGCAGCCGCGGUAAUACGGAGGAUCCAAGCGUUAUCCGGAUUUAUUGGGUUUAAAGGGUGCGUAGGCGGAUUGAUAAGUUAGAGGUGAAAUGUCCGAGCUUAACUCGGGAACUGCCUCUAAUACUGUUGAUCUAGAGAGUAGAUGCGGUAGGCGGAAUGUAUGGUGUAGCGGUGAAAUGCUUAGAGAUCAUACAGAACACCGAUUGCGAAGGCAGCUUACCAAUCUAUAUCUGACGUUGAGGCACGAAAGCGUGGGGAGCAAACAGGAUUAGAUACCCUUGUAGUC
rnacentral:rRNA from 1 species